GACUGGGGCAGCCCAGAACACUGGGGAGACUAGAUCGAUAGGGCUGCACAGAGGUGGCACAGUUGUGCCAGAGGUAGCAGGGACAGGAGGGCUGGCAAGGGAGGGUCCAGGGCUAGGGGAUUCGGAGUGGCUUCAGGCGGACCACGUGGCUACCUUUUUUCCAGGGCCAGACUUUGGCAGCGUGUAAGGUCUGAGGACAGGGGCACCGGAGGCCGAGGAUGAGAGGCCAGUGCCUGUUUCCAGGCAGCCAGGGCCUCAGAAACUCCGGCCGGAGCACUCACCCGUCGGUGGAGGCCGUUACCAGGGCCACCUUAUUUGCGAGCGGGUCCCGGCGGGUCAUCCCGGAGCUGGCCAUCCGCACCGAAUUCCAAGCCCGGGCACAGAGGCCUAGCAGCCCCGCCUUGUGCAUGGAUCAGACCAGCAAGUAUGGGUUCCACUCUUCCCAGGGGCGGUGACAGAGUAGGGCGAGGGGCAGGACGAAGGGCGGGCCGAUUCCCUGCCCGCCCUGCUCCCCGCCCCGGUACCGCUGUGAGCGGUCUGUGGCCCUGGGCACCUCCAUCCGCCGCGGCGCCCCUCCACCAUCUACCUUCCGCCUGACUGGGGCUUGCCUUUCCGGGCUGGCGGGGUGCCACUUCGGAUAAACCCUUUGGACUCCUAACUCCAAUCAGGUGUCUGCUUUGUUGAGGACUCACAGACACAGUCUCCUUUCUUCAAGAUCUUUACAAUGCAAGACCUCACUAACACACAGGGAUGGUCUCCCAGAGGGUCUGUGCUGUUCCUUCACUCAGAACAUCAAGAUGCACUGAAGUAAGGAUCCUCUAUUCUACAGUUCCUGCUAGCUGAGCUAUUCCAUGGGGGCUUCAGCAGGAAAUUCCAAGGUUGGCUUUGACAAGCUAAGGCCGGCUGGUGGAGCACAUCGAGUUCUGGAGGUUCAUGUGUGUUUUCAUGAAGAUCUGUCUGCCCGUAGCAGAUAAAGAGUUGUUGCCCCACUCCUCCUGGGGUCUUCUAUUUUCCUGGGAGGAAUUUCUGGAUUAACUGAACACACACACACACACACACACCCUUUUGAAGCAUCAACAGUAAUUCUGAGUUCUUAGGGACAAUGCAGAUUAAAUCCACAAUAAGAAAGACAACUAUGGCCAGGUGUGGUGGCUCACGCCUGUAAUCCCAGAACUUUGGGAGGCUGAGGCGGAUGGAUCACCUGAGGUCAGGAGUUAGAGACCAACCUGACCAACAUGGAGAAACCCCGUUUCUACUAAAAAUGCAAAAUUAGCCGGGCAUGGUGGCAGGCGCCUGUAAUCCCAAAUACUCGGGAGGCUGAGGCAGGAGAAUCACUUAAACCCGGGAGGCAGAGGUUGCAGUGAGCCAAGAUCGCGCCAUUGCACUCCAGCCUGGGCAAGAAGAGCAAAACUCCAUCUCAAAAAAAAAAAAAGAGUACUAUUGAUCCAGAGGUGACCAGACUAGCCUCACUGGAGAUAAUAGGUGACAUUAUUAUGCAAAGUGGUUUCAGUUCCCUUGUCUUGUUUUUGGAAUAGUAUAAGAGGCCUACAAUACGAAUAAAUAAGGCCCAUCACAAGCCUCACCAAAGGACAAAACUAAUCCACUUCUGAAGAAGGCUCUUUGUUGGGCCAGAUCAAAUCCUUGGACAGAACUGUACUCUUAAUCUCUGUAGUGAAAGUGGGGGGUAGUUUAAGAAUUUAUUAACCUUCUACCUUGAGCAAUCCCUCAGAAGUAAGAGGUGUCAGGCCUCUGAGCCGAAGCUCAGCCAUUGUAACCCCUGUGACCUGCACAUAUAUGUCCAGAUGGCCUGCAGGAGCCAAGAAGUCUGGGGCAGCUGAAAAACCACACAAGAAGUAAAACAGCCAGUUCCUGCCUUAACUGAUUAACCAACAUUACAACAUUCCACCAUUGUGACCUGUCCCUGUCCUACCUUAACUGAUCAAUCGACCUUGUGACAGUCUUCUUCUGGACAAUGGGUCUUAUCAUCUCCCCACCAUGUACCUUGUGACCCCCUCCUCUGCUAACAAUAGAUAACCACUUUUUACUGUAAUUUUCCAUUACCUACCCAACUCCUAUAAAGCAACCCCUUCCCCAUCUCCCUUCACUGACUCUGUUUUCAGACUCAGCCCACUUGCACUCAAGUGAAUAAACAGCCUUGUUGCUCACACAAAGCCUGUUGGUGGUCUCUUCACACAGAUGUGCUUGACAAAAGGGAAGGGUGGAUUUGUCCUUCUGGUUACAUAUGUUCUGCUCACUCAUUUUGAAUUUAAUUAAACAAGGAUUGCCCUUACCUUUUCAUACUUUGUAAGAAACCAUAAAUACUUAUGCACCAUGAUUUUUUUAAAGAAACACUUUUUAUUUUGAAGUAAUUAUAGUCUCAUAGGAAGUUGCAAAAGUAGUACAUAGAGUCCCUGAGUACUCUUCCCCCAGUGGUGACAACUGUAGUAUAAUAUCAAUUCUGGGAAAUUGACAUUGGUACAAUACCAAAUAUACUAUGCCUUUUUCUCUAAGGCAUGAUGUUGCAGUAGCAUCCUUGUACAUGUAGCUAGGAGAACUUGUACUAAGCCCAGAUAAAUAGUUGAAGUACAAGGGCAAGGAGUGUGUCUUUGAUAUUUUAAUAGAAAUCACCUAUUGCCCUCUAGAAAAGCUGUACCCUUUUCCAGUGGCAGAGAACCUUCCUGAAAGGCAGUCCUGUGUAAUGGUGUCCAUUUCAUCACACCCUUAAAACACUCAGCUUUAACAAACAUGCAGAUUUUUGCUGAUGUGGGAGAAAAUAUUAAUUAUUAAUGAUAUUAAGGUGAUUAUCUUUUCGUAUGUUUAUAGAUAUUUGUAUUUCUUUUUAAAUGAACUGCUCAUGACCUUUGUCUACUUUUAUUUGGGUUUACUUCUUUCUCAUUUAUUCCUAUAAACUCUUUAUAAAAGGAAAUUAACCAUUUGAUUGUCAUAUGUUGUGAAUAUUUUUACCAUUUUGACUUUUGAAUUUAUGUCUUUUUAAUGAAUUGUAGAAGUUUAAAAUCUUUAUGGAAUAAAUUUAUUUAGUUUUUUGUUUAUGGC
rnacentral:lncRNA from 1 species